rnacentral:rRNA from 1 species
UACGUAGGGGGCAAGCGUUGUCCGGAUUUAUUGGGCGUAAAGAGCGUGUAGGCGGCCAGGUAGGUCCGUUGUGAAAACUCGAGGCUCAACCUCGAGACGUCGGCGGAAACCCUCUGGCUAGAGUCCGGAAGAGGAGAGUGGAAUUCCUGGUGUAGCGGUGAAAUGCGUAGAUAUCGCCUGGAACGCCGACGGUGAAAACAGAUGACUGGGGGUGUGCCGACGCUGAGACACGAAAGCCAGGGGAGCGAACGGG